rnacentral:rRNA from 1 species
AUUGAACGCUGGCGGCAUGCUUUACACAUGCAAGUCGAACGGCAGCGCGGGCUUCGGCCUGGCGGCGAGUGGCGAACGGGUGAGUAAUGCAUCGGAACGUGCCCAGUAGUGGGGGAUAGCCCGGCGAAAGCCGGAUUAAUACCGCAUACGACCUGAGGGUGAAAGCGGGGGACCGAAAGGCCUCGCGCUAUUGGAGCGGCCGAUGUCGGAUUAGCUAGUUGGUGGGGUAAAGGCUUACCAAGGCGACGAUCCGUAGCUGGUCUGAGAGGACGACCAGCCACACUGGGGCUGAGACACGGCCCAGACUCCUACGGGAGGCAGCAGUGGGGAAUUUUGGACAAUGGGGGCAACCCUGAUCCAGCCAUGCCGCGUGCGGGAAGAAGGCCUUCGGGUUGUAAACCGCUUUUGUUCGGGAAGAAAUCCUCUGGGCUAAUACCCCGGGGGGAUGACGGUACCGGAAGAAUAAGCACCGACUAACUACGUG